CGUGUAUCCGAGGGCGCAACUGUCUGAAUUCUUCGUGUGCAGAGCUAGUCGGACACAUUAUGUGACAUCGUUUAUUUUAUCGUCCUAGUUUUCAAACCUAAGAUAUGAUAUGUGUACAUGUGAUUUUCACUGGAUAAUUGAAAUUUUAAAAACUAGACGGCGAUAAGCAGAUUGUUUACAAAUGAAUGGAUGUUUUCAGGUGAACGUUCAAAACCAAUGGUAUUCGAAAUGCUUUUCUCUCAGAACUACGACCAAAAACCAACAGAAGAACUCAAAUAAUAAAUGAUCUUUUAACAGCUCAGGCUUAAACAGCUCCUUUGAUAGUCUAACGAUUUUCAGAAAAAGCAAACCCCCAUAAUUACAUGAUGGCAAAAAGCUAAAAAAAGACCUUUUCUAAAAACUGUUGCUUUACACAAAAGAAAAUGUGUAAAAUGUGUCAUUAUCAUUGUUAAAUCUCGCUCCCCCUUCCCCCACUCAACGAUUGAAUCGAAACGGAGAACAAAAGUCAAAGGAAACGGAACCUCACUCCGACAAAUCACUCAAUGGGAGGGGCCAUAGAAUGGUGCCGACUACCGCAACGAAGCGCUGGAGAACGAACACCAAGCUUAACGCAGCAUCAGACAUAAACCUAGACUUCAAAGUUUCCAGUUGGAAAGCAGCGAUUGAUUUAAGGGCCAUGUGUCUUUAACCAUCCGAGCGAAGGAUGCAGACGCUCUAGCGUGUUUGAGUUACGCAUCCUUCAGAUCAUAUUUGGCAGUAUGUUGGAGCAUGGAAAGAGAAGAAGAAGGACGAGCAACGAGCUUGCUGAGCUGUUCGGUGAACCAGACAUCUUGAUUGUGACGAAGACUGGCAGGAUACGAUGGCUGGGGCAUACUAUGAUGUCAAACUCAUGCUAUUUAAGAAUGUAUUUGACAGUGAACAAGCGCACAUAGGCAAACUACAUUCGUUGACUAUGGAAUGUUAAAUGAUAAAACUGUUUUUCAUAAAUAGAAGCAAAUGUAGAAAUUUUAGAAACAUAAUAAAGAAAAGCAAACAAUCAACUCAUUACAAUCAAGUAAGCAAGCUUAACGUCUCCAAUGGUUAUACACACAUGCUAAAAAAACCUACAUCUCAAUUCAAAUAACGAUGCCAACAUUUCAAGACUAAGGGAAGAGUUCUUAGGAAAAGUUUAAUGCUUUAACACUUUAAAUGACAUUAAGAAACAAUUUCAAACAAUCAAAAGUACAUUUAAAAUAUACAAACGAAAUAAUGAAAAAUCAAUAGCCUGUACCCACAUAAUCAUAUAGCGCUCGUCAGCCAACAAAAUUUGUGGAAAUGACAAUGAUGAUAACACAAUUUUGUACUCUCUUAUUGUUUAGUAGUUAAAAUUUUUAAGUAAAUUGAAAUGGGUCUGAAAUUGUGGCUAAAUUACCUUUAUUACGUGCUAUCCACUUACUUUUCUUUAAUAAAAAUACUGCCGAUGCCGUAUUGUCGCUAAUUUAAAAUUAAAAAUUACACACCUCAGGUAGCAACGAUAUUUUUGAACGGUGGCGAAGAUAGCACAUAGCACAACUACACAAUUACUAUUAGAUUGGUUUCAAUUGUAGUAAGAAGAAAUCGAAUGCAUUAACUCUACUUUUAAAGCUUUACCUAGAAUCUUUGCAAAUAUCGCUAUUCAUUUGAAUAACAGAAUUUAAAGUGUUGGCUUUUUUCACUACAACCAUGAGAUACAAAAUUAUUAAAAGCAAUCGAACGUGUCUGAUACAUGUACUGAACUUCAUUUUAUAAAGAAUUUAUAUCAAUGAACUAUAUAUUCUAAAUAAGAGAAAUGAAUUCUUAAAGGAUCUUAAAAGGCAACAAACCCGGUUAGGGAUAUCUGAAAGUCAAAAUGGUUACACAAGGAAUGAUGACAGUACACGUAAAGAAUAAUAGCUACGAUAACAUACAGACUGGUGGUUAGGGAAAAGAUAAUAAUAAGGAAGGUGAGCAUAUAAAUAGGAAUAGAAUCGAGUAUAGUGAGAGCAUCAUUGAUAUCAUACACAAGCGAGGCGAAAAAUAAGGAUUGGGCGUGUGUCCUAGUAAAUGCAUUCUACUCUCACUUGAUGAAGUCGAUAUGAAUGAGUCGUACCGGGGCCCAGAUAUCUUCAGCAAAUGUUGAUCCAACUAACUGAACAAUGCCUAAAGACAGUGUGGAUUGGUAAAUUUGGAUGAGCCGUACUAAAUCAUUUGCAGCUUUUUACAAGUUCUGCUAACAAUGUAAUCAUAAUGAUCGAUAGGCUACUGUCAAACAACACACCAAAGAACUUUAUUAUACAGACGCAAUUUACCGAUCUAGAAAGUAACAAUAUGCAAUUGAGCAACGGGAAGUAGUGCAGAAAAUUAUAUUACAUUUAUCUAUUCAGAAAAACAGAAAUAGUAGUAAAGCUAGACGAGAGGUAGUAAAGAGCAAUUGGGCGAGAAUCAGACAGAGAGGAGCUCUCGUCAUUACAGGGCUUUUGAGGAUUAUGUUGACAUGUUCAAUGAGUUGUUGUUUUGUUCGAGCAUAUAAUUUCACUUUCACUUUCAGAGCGAUAUUGCAAGGUUCAGAAGGAGACGAUGACGAGUUAAACGCUAUUUUUUUUAAUAUCUCGCUAUCAGUUAAUUAAUUUAUAAUGAGAAUCUCUAAACUACGGUCUUUGAGAGCCUAUAAUGAGACCUACAAUGACUUUGUUAAAGAUAAAAUAAAAAUAAUAUUAUUUUGUCUAUUUCUUUAAAAUUUCUUCUUUUUUAU